AUUUGAAUAGUUUAUUUAAAAAUUUAAGGUUGUGGACUUUAAGAAGAUUUUAAUCUUCAGAUA
rnacentral:tRNA from 1 species